CCCAGAGGCACCAGCCCCAGUCACCCUUACCCACGUCCAUCCAUUCCGGGGGAACCACUCGGCAUUUCUGUCUCUGUUUCAAGUUCAUCGCCAGCCAAAGGGGGACCUGCACAGGAACUCCACCUCGGCCGAGUCCAUGGCCCGCUCCCGGACUGCCUCCUCCGACGCGCCAGUCAGAGCCCCAGGAUCCGAGGCCUAGGCGGAGCCCUGGACUUCCCGCCACUCCGAAAGCCCCGCCCCCCGCGCGCGAGCAGCCUAGGAAGGACCUAUCAGGAAAGGGGACGCGAGUCCCGGGGACGAGACGGCGUCGCGUCACUUUCUCGGGGAUUGGACGAGCUCGCGCCCGCCGGCGUUUCCGGGUCUGCGCCUGCGCUCCUCGCGUCUCAAGUGCUGGGGGUCCCGGGUGGGGGAGGCGCUUCUCUGGCGGGCGGCGGGGGGACAGCCCCGAGACCCCCGUUAGUCCUUGGUCCGCAUCUCCCGUAGCAGCGGAUGAGAGAGCGUAAGGGAAGCCUGGAAGGAGGGACCUGAGUCCGGAGGAGCCGAGUUCGAAUCUUGCUUCCCCCCUUCGGAGUGGAGCUUUCCAUUCCCCGACGCUGACUUCCCUUCAGGAGCCCCCAGAUACCCCAAACCCCAAGUCGGAGGAAGACUGGGGUCUGGCCCCGCGUUUGUUCCGAAUCCUUUUGGAAAGCGCGCGUUCCCUUCCACAUGGACCCAAGCCAACAGUCCCUCAGAGGAAGACUCGUCCUGGGCCGCAUGGCCUUUGGGCGUGACGUCAGUCGCAAUGGUGCUUUGUGGGAAUCGGGAAGAUCUGGGUUCAAAUCCAGCGGCGUGACCCUGACUCAACCAUGUACCCUGUCUAAGCUUCAGUUUCCUUCCCUGUUAGAUGAAGACGAACAGGAUUGAAUAUAGUCCGGAGUUAACAAAUGGCCACCCCUCAGGGGUAUCCGGAAGUAGAUUGCAGCAACUAGUGAAGUGAAUCCAGAAAGGGAGAGGAAAAGAGUGCCCGCGUCCCAAAUUCCUUCCCAAAGAGGACCCUCGUCAUGGAGGUGAAGCCAUGAAUGCGAGGGAGGGGGAGGCACCAGCUGACUUUUCUCCCAAUCGUCCGGGCCCAGUGGCAAGAUCUAAAUCAAGACUUCUAAAGAUGGCCCUGGUCGCAGUGGGGCCUUUUAAAAUCAAGGUCUUUAACAGGCCUUAGUUUGACUGAGGCGUCCCCCAAUCUGUGAUUAAGACUAAGAAGAAAAUUAAAGAUUAAUUUUAAGGGAAAGAUUAAGAAGAAAAUAAAAAAUUCCAGAUAUCUAGAUAGAUAAGACAGAGAUAGAAAUUUACAUAGAUGUUCUAUCCUCCAUUUUCAAAGAGAAACAAUGAUAUCAUUGGUGAUACCUU